UUCCGUAGGGGGCCUGCGGAGGGAUCAUUACCGAGUUUACAACUCCCAAACCCAAUGUGAACGUUACCAAACUGUUGCCUCGGCGGGAUCUCUGCCCCGGGUGCGUCGCAGCCCCGGACCAAGGCGCCCGCCGGAGGACCAACCUAAAACUCUUAUUGUAUACCCCCUCGCGGGUUUUUUUAUAAUCUGAGCCUUCUCGGCGCCUCUCGUAGGCGUUUCGAAAAUGAAUCAAAACUUUCAACAACGGAUCUCUUGGUUCUGGCAUCGAUGAAGAACGCAGCGAAAUGCGAUAAGUAAUGUGAAUUGCAGAAUUCAGUGAAUCAUCGAAUCUUUGAACGCACAUUGCGCCCGCCAGUAUUCUGGCGGGCAUGCCUGUCCGAGCGUCAUUUCAACCCUCGAACCCCUCCGGGGGGUCGGCGUUGGGGAUCGGCCCUCCCUUAGCGGGUGGCCGUCUCCGAAAUACAGUGGCGGUCUCGCCGCAGCCUCUCCUGCGCAGUAGUUUGCACACUCGCAUCGGGAGCGCGGCGCGUCCACAGCCGUUAAACACCCAACUUCUGAAAUGUGACCUCGGAUCAGGUAGAAACCCCAUCCG
rnacentral:rRNA from 1 species